UAGGGAAUCUUCCACAAUGGACGCAAGUCUGAUGGAGCAACGCCGCGUGAGUGAAGAAGGUUUUCGGAUCGUAAAGCUCUGUUGUUGGUGAAGAAGGAUAGAGGUAGUAACUGGCCUUUAUUUGACGGUAAUCAACCAGAAAGUCACGGCUAACUACGUGCCAGCAGCCGCGGUAAUACGUAGGUGGCAAGCGUUGUCCGGAUUUAUUGGGCGUAAAGCGAGCGCAGGCGGAAGAAUAAGUCUGAUGUGAAAGCCCUCGGCUUAACCGAGGAACUGCAUCGGAAACUGUUUUUCUUGAGUGCAGAAGAGGAGAAUGGAAUUCCAUGUGUAGCGGUGGAAUGCGUAGAUAUAUGGAAGAACACCAGUGGCGAAGGCGACUCUCUGGUCUGCAACUGACGCUGAGGCUCGAAAGCAUGGGUAGCGAACAGG
rnacentral:rRNA from 1 species